rnacentral:rRNA from 1 species
GACGAACACUGGCGGCGCGCUUAACACAUGCAAGUCGAACGGAAAGGCCUGCUUUCCCUUGUGGAUUGCGGGUACUCGAGUGGCGAACGGGUGAGUAACACGUGAGUGAUCUGCCCCCAACUUGGGUAUAAGCCUGGGAAACUGGGUCUAAUUCCCGAUAGGACUGCAGGGUGGUGCCUGUGGUGGAAAACGAUUUUCUAGUGGUUGGGGAUGAGCUCGCGGCCUAUCAGCUUGUUGGUGGGGUAAUGGCCUACCAAGGCGGCGACGGGUAGCCGGCCUGAGAGGGUGGACGGCCACAUUGGGACUGAGAUACGGCCCAGACUCCUACGGGAGGCAGCAGCGGGGAAUAUUGCACAAUGGGCGGAAGCCUGAUGCAGCGACGCCGCGUGGGGGAUGACGGCCCUCGGGUUGUAAACUCCUUUCGACCGCGAGGAAGCCACCUGGUUGGAAGGGUGGUGACGGUAGUGGUAGAAGAAGCACCGGCUAACUACGUG